rnacentral:lncRNA from 1 species
UUCAUAUUAUUUAUACAUGAUUAAAUUGUUUUUGUGUAUCUACAUAUAGUAGGUGUUGAACCCCCUUCGACUGGUUUUCUUCAAUAUCGAACCCCUUUAGUUAAAAUCUUGGCUCCGCCUCUGAGUAAUAUAAAUAAGAACAAUAACGAUUCAUAAUAUAUUUGCAUUAGAUAUUAAUGAAGCAGGCCUACAUUUUAAAUCAGAAAAAAUCAUUUAAUAAACAUCUCUAUUUUCAAGUCUAUAAUUUAAAUGUUAAUGCAUGCAUUAGUUUAAUGUGUAUUAGUAGUAUCUUGUUUGGUAUACCUUUUUACCCUAUGUAAAACUAAUGCAAACAUUAGUUAUACACUCUAUUGUGUAUUGAAGUGUGUAUUACUAAUACCUCAAAAUCCAUGACAUUAGUAAUGCAAUGGAUCUAGUGCAUGCAUUAACAUGCUUAAAGACCCUAUUACCCUUCAAAAAAUUUCCGCAUCCUUUUCCAACAUAUAUAUUGAGGGUAUUAUCUAAAUUUUUUUUUUUUUUAGAAAUUAUGUAAUUCUUGUUUUUUUAAUACAUCGAACCAAACACUGCAUAAGAAAAAUACAAGCAUAACUAACGCAAGCAUAACUAAUACAAACAUUACUAAUACUCUAUACUUUGCAUUAUUCUUAUACACUCUACCAAACGACCCCUUAAUAAACAUCUCCACAUUUUAAUUUAGCAACAAUCAUUUAAAAAACAUCUGUAUCUCAACCAUCUUACCAUAGCACAUAUCAACUAUAUAUAAGAGCAAAAACCUAGUAGAAAACAUGUACUAAUUCACUUCACAAAUAUAUAAGAAUUUCACCAUGACCAAACUCAUAAUAUUUUCACUAGUCGUAUUAACUAUUUUCAUUCAUACUGUGAAUUCUUUGCCCAUUUCGGCAGGAUAUACUGUUUAUAUCAUCGAUGCCCUUCCAAGCAAUAAAAGUUCGUUGUCAAUAUAAAGAUAAUGAUUUAGGCGUUCAUUCCAUUGGAAAGCCUUUGGUGAAACUGUUUUCUUUUGUCACUAUUAUUGGGGUUCAAAACAACAAAUUUUUGAUGUUGUCAAUAAACAUGUUAGUGAAGGUUGUGGAAGAAAUGAUAUAUACGCAAAUCAUUAUUAUAGACACCUAAUUUUAUCCCUUCCAACGUUGAUUUUAUCCAUUUUUAACUCACUUUACCACGUGUUCUCAUCCAUGUGAUUAUAUCCCACAAAAAUACAGAAAAUAACAACCCUCAACAAAAUCCUAACAAAUUUUAUCUUAUUUUAAUUAUCCUAACAACCUACCCCACCCUCUACUCACCUUACCACCCCUACCCGUACCACGUCACCACCCCUUCAUUUUUAUUGGAUUACUUUUAACCUAAUACUCUAACAACAAAAAUAGACUGGACCAUUUUUUAUUUUUUAUUUUUUCCUCUCAUUUUUAUUUUGAUCAAGAGGGGGUUUUCCAUUUUUCUCCGAAACAGAGCACGCAUAGAGAGGACCAUCAUCUUCCCUUUUUUUGUCAACAACACAGUAGAUAUUCACUGACCUCACAGAAAACACACAGAGAACACGCACCAUCGUCUUCUUCCACCGUACACGUACACACUCACCUCACCGCACGCACAUACACAGUAAUUAGAGAGCAGGAGAGAUGAGGUGAUUAAACAGAAUCAAGGGAGAGAGAGUGAAAUCGAGAGAGACACCUUGAACAGAGGGAAGUCAGUCGACGCCUGAGUUUAUUCGGUGAAUUUCUCCCCAGAAUCAGCUACCCGCUACCGGAAUACAACAUCUCAUCUCCAAAAGUGUCAUCCCCAAUCGAAACCAACAAAAACCGGUUGAACCCGAUCGUUAUGAGUCGAUUCUGGCGAUAAAUCGCCGAAAAUCGGCAUAGUUCAGGGCCGACUUAGGGUUUUGACAUUGAACUCCACCACCAUAAGAAGCUUAAAAAUAAAUCCGUUGAAUUCUCUUUUACCGAUCGAUCGUUGUUACGAUUUAGUGGAGUUAUAUGUGUUAAUAGAACUUUAUUUAAAGGAAGAAAGGCUAAGGUUUACAAUAUAAUCUGAAAAGCCUAAGACUAACUAAACAAAAGUAGGCUAUAUAUACAUAGCCAAUAACCUAAGGUCCAUAAACUAAAGGCCCAAUAACAUAUGGGCUAACAUCCCCCCUCAAACUCACAAUGCAACAGCAAUAAGCAUUGAGAGUUUGUCACACAAAAAACGAAAUCGAGACGCCGACUGAGCCUUCGUAAAAAGGUCAGCAAUCUGCAAAGACGAUGGAACAAAAGGAAGCGAUAUGGUCCCGAGCUGUAAAUGAUGACGGGUGAAGUGACAAUCAAUCUCAAUGUGCUUCGUACGCUCAUGGAAGACAGAAUUCUUUGCAAUUUGUACCGCACUUUUGUUAUCACAAUGCAGGGGAGUAGGCAUAGAAAUGUGAACCCCCAUAUCUGCAAGAAGCCAACGUAACCAAAUAAUCUCACAUGUAGUCACAGCCAUAGCACGAUACUCAGCCUCCGUGGAAGAUCUAGAGACAACAUCUUGUUUCUUGCUCUUCCACGAGAUUAAAGAGUCUCCAAGAAACACACAAAAACCAGUGGUGGAUUUACGAUCAUUGCGAUCUCCAUCCCAAUCAGCAUCACUAUAGGCUCGCAACUCGAGAGAUGACGUCGAGGGAAACAAGAGAUUCUGAAACUGAGUGCCACGAAGAUACCUUAGAAUACGAAGUACAGCUCCCCAGUGCACAGAAGUAGGAGCAGUAACAAACUGGCUAACAACAUGAACUGCAUGUGCUAUAUCUGGACGAGUAACCGUAAGAUAAACCAAACUACCCACAAUAGUCCGAUAAAGACUCGGAUCUGAUAAUGGAACACCAUCACUAGGAGAGUAACGUGCAUUGGUUUCAAGGGGAGUAUCUACAGUCCUGUUGUCAGAAAGACGCGCCCGUGUAAACAAGUCAGAUAUAUACUUAGUCUGAGAAAGAAGAUACCCUUUCUUAGACUGAGCCACCUCAAUACCCAGAAAAUAACGCAGCAAGCCCAAGUCCUUCAUUGCAAAUCGAUGAGCCAAAUCAUGCUUCAAUAACUCAAUACCACUAUGAUCAUCACCAGUAAUAAUCAUAUCAUCUACAUAUAAGGACAAUAGAAUUCGCCCUGCACUUGUACAUCUAACAAACAAUGCUGAAUCAUGGUUACUCGGGACAAAUCCAAGGGAAGUAAUAACAGUGGAGAAUUUCUCAAACCAAGCACGAGGGGCUUGUUUGAGACCAUAUAAAGCUUUUCGAAGCCGACAAACUUCACCUGGCUGGUGGUCAAUACCUGGGGGAGGAGUCAUAUAAACUUCCGCGUGGAGAUCACCAUUCAGAAAAGCAUUCUUGACAUCCAUCUGAAAUAUCUUCCACUGUCGAACGGAUGCAACAGCAAUCAUAGUGCGAACAGUCGUCAUCUUUGCUACGGGGGAAAAAGUCUCCUCAUAAUCCAUACCAUAUUGUUGUGAAUACCCUUUUGCCACAAGUCUUGCCUUGUAUCGCUCAACAGACCCAUCAGAUUUUGUUUUUAUCUUAUACACCCAUCGACAACCAAUCGCAUGCUUACCAGGUGGGAGAGUAACCAAAUCCCAUGUAUGUGUAUGAUGAAGAGCAGCAAGUUCCUCAGCCAUAGCAUUCUGCCAAAGAGGAUCAGACACAGCCUCUCUAUACGACUCAGGUUCAGACAAAUGAUGUAUGUUUGCAAUAAAGGAAGCAAAUGAGGCUGAAUAUGUAGAAUAGUAAAAAUCUGGCAGUUUGGUGGACUUACAAGGUCGAGUAGACCUCCUCAGAGGUGGUGGGUCUCCAGUCUCAACAGUCGAAGGAGCAGACUCAGGCACAGGCGAGGCUGAAGCACUAUCAGGUGGCACACCAGAUGGCAUGGAUGAAUCCGGAACUGGAACCUCUAUGUCAAUCCCAAAGGGAUCAAUAAGCCGAAUAUCUGACUUUGUCACAUCAUGGGUUUUAGCUGGAAUGGAAUAAAAAGGAAUAUGUUCCAAAAAAGUGACAUGUCGUGAAACAUAUAAUUUCUGACUUACAGGAUCAUAGCAACGAUAUCCUUUUUGUCCAAUACCAUACCCCAAAAACACACAUAUAGCUGAUUUUGACCCUAACUUAUUUCGUUCAACAUGAGGACGAAGAACAAAGCAAGUACAUCCAAAAACUCGUAAUGCAGAAUAAUUCGGCGGGUGACCAUAUAGUUUCUCAAACGGAGACAUCCCUGAAGUCAAUGCAGUAGGAAUACGAUUAAUCACAUAUACAGCAGUUAGAACUGCUUCUCCCCAAAAAAUACUAGGAACCUCUGCAGACAAAAGUAAAGAGCGUGCUGUCUCAACAAUAUGACGAUGUUUUCUUUCUGCCAGACCGUUCUGCUCAGGAGUGUCGGUACAAGAUGACUGGUGUAUGGUACCAUCAGAGGCAAGUAACUGAGUGAAGUCAUUAGAGGUAUAUUCACCCCCUAAGUCACACCUGAAACACUUUAUCACAGCCGAAUGUUGUGUUUUAACAAGGGCUCUAAAGUUGUUGUAAAUGCCAAAGAAAUCAGAUCUGCGUUUCAUAAGAUACACCCAGGUAUAACGAGUAUAGUCAUCUAUAAACGAAACAUAAUAGGUCGAUCCACCCUUAGUGGAUACUGGCGCUGGUCCCCAUACAUCAGAAUGAAUAAUAUCAAAAGGAGCAACAGAAUAAGACACACUUUUAUUAAACGGUAAGGCAGAAAAUUUUGCCAGUUUACAACCACUACAAUCUGAAAUAUCACUAGUGUUCACAUGACCCAAAGCACCACUAGAGACCAAAAAACGUAAACGUGAAACUGACACAUGUCCUAAUCUGGAAUGCCAAAGAUAAAACUGAGAAGACAAAGGACUCAAACGAAAAGAAGAUAAAUCUAUGCUAGAGGCAGCAACUACAGACACUUUGAGAUUCUCCAAGACAUAGAGUUCCCCCAACCUACGGCCGGUCCCAAUCACCCUCUGAGUGUGUUGGUCCUGUAUAACACAAACAGAAUCAGAAAAAAACACCCAAUUACCAGCCUUACACAACUGACUGACCGAAACAAGAUUUAAAGCAAGUUUGGGAAUGUAAUAAACAUCAGAGAGGACAAUGUGAGGGGUAGUAACAGAACCAACACCCUCGACUGACAUAGGUACAGCACUCGCGGACAUAACAGAGAUUGGUGAAAUGGGUGACAAAGAACCAAACGAUGACAAAUGAGGGGACAUGUGAUGAGACGCACCAGAAUCCAAUAUCCACAAGGAGGAAGGAAUACCUGAGGUACUAGAAGAAACUGAACCCGAAUGAGACAUAGAUGCUGACAUGGCCGUAGGAUUAGAAACGAAGAACUGUCUGAACUGUUCGAAAACCUGGGGAUCCAACGCAGAAGGUGGCAUAGUGCUAACAGACUCAACAUCUACAGAUGGUGCAGCAGCAGCGAACUGUGGAGGACGAGAUGACCACGGAGGAGCACCAGAUGGGCGUGACGGAUACUUUUGCUGCCCAUAUUUCUGUUGCUGCCCAGAUUGAGGCUGUUUGACCUUGUUAAGUAACAACGGACACUGAGCCUUCCAAUGAUUUUUCUGUUUGCAGAAUGCACACUCAUCAAAUGCAACUUUAGGAGAUUGUCGAGUCUGAGUACGUGGUGGCCUAGACUGAUCAGUUGAAGCAGCAAACACGACAGGAGUAGUAGUUACUUUAGACCCUUUAUCCACUUGAGACUUGAUACGAGUCUCCUCUGCAAUCAGUUCAUGAACCACAGAAUCAACAGUAGGGAGGGGAGAUCGAUGAAGGAUUGUUCCACGUAGGCCCUCAAAGUCAGAACGUAGUGCCAUCAAAAACUGAACCAAGCGUUGCUCUUCCCGUCUAGCAAUGUACGGCCCAAAACCUUUUAACUCUGCAGAUUCAGUAAGUGCCAAUUGAUCCCACAAAUCCGACAUGGCAGCAUAAAAAUCUUGAAUACUGAGAUCAUGCUGUUGAAGAGCACGGAUAUCAUACUCCAACUGGUACUGCUUAGCAAAAUUAGACUGAGUGUACAGUCUUUCCAAAUGAUCCCAGACCUCCUUUGCUGUGUCAUACUUAGCCAAUUGCAUACCAAUUGACUGAGUUACAGAAUUGUUGAUCCAAGUGAUAAUCUUGGAGUUAUUAGUUUCCCAUAAGUCCACCAACAAAUCAAAAUUUUCAGUUUUAUCAUCGAUAGGUCUUGGUUUUACUCCAGUGAUAUAACCCCACAUAUUCUUCCCACGAAGAAAAUUCUUCAUGACAUAACUCCAAUAGGCAUAGUUCUUACCAUCUAAUUGAGUACUAAUGGACUGGAGAGAAUCAUCCUUUCCAGUCAUUGUAAACACAGCAACACACAAACAAUUCAAAAAACAAAAAGAUGCAAAACCCUAGGUUGAACAAUUCCGAACGAACAACAAUGGCAGCAAGCAAAAGAACGAAAGACGAACAAUACCAGACAGCAAACGAAGACAGCAACGAAUCAAUCCAACCAAAAAACCCAACGAAAAUAGCAAACGAAUACAGCAGCACCUCAAAAAAAAUUCGGGGCUCCGCCCCGAACCCCGAACGGGGGCGCGCUGCCCCCCGUACCCCCCCAGCGAACUCACCGCGAACUCACCGCGGAGUUCGAUCAGCGCAGUAGGUGCCUGCUACAAAAUCUUCAACCAACAAAUCAAAGGACAUGGAUCGAACUAGCUUUGAUACCAUGUUAAUAGAACUUUAUUUAAAGGAAGAAAGGCUAAGGUUUACAAUAUAAUUUGAAAAGCCUAAGACUAACUAAACAAAAGUAGGCUAUAUAUACAUAGCCAAUAACCUAAGGUCCAUAAACUAAAGGCCCAAUAACAUAUGGGCUAACAAUAUGUCCUUGGUGACGUGUCAUUUGUUUAGGUUUUCUUUUUAAGUUAUCGCGGUCUCUUUUUGAAUCUGAUUUUGAGGGAUUUUUGUGCUCGAAUUGGUUCAUAGUCGAGAUUUCAGUGUUCGUUGAGGUUCUCGGAGCGGCUCUCAUCUUUCUUUUCAAGUUAAUCGAAAGCUUUUGAGGUCCAAUUCUCAACUCUACUCUCUUAUUAUCAUUAUGUGUUUGAUGAUGAUUGAUUCAGAAUUUUGUUGAUACUUGGUGUUGUUUAUCUGAAUAGCUAGUCAUUGGUAUGAAAUCAUGUUGAUAUGGCUUGAUAACUAUUUUCAUGUUAAAGUUCAUGUGUUAAAAUGAAUUUUGGGAGGGGUUAAACAUGAUGAAGUGAAUUCGUGUUAAUUUUUGGAUCUUUGAUUAUAUUGAAAUUGUUGGAAUUGUGAUAAAUCGAAUCUAAUAGGUAAAUGCUAAGUCGGGUAGGAAAAUUUUAGGAAUGGUGUUUUAUUAAAUGUUUGAAUGUGCGUGUGAAUAGUUCUUUCUACUUUAUCGCGCAAGAUUUGAAGAUGUAUUCAUUCGCUGGGGAAUGCCGUGAGAUUAUAUUGUACUUAUUCACCGGGGAAUGCCCCGAAGUAUCAUGUACGUAAAGAAGGCUCGUGAUCAAGGCCCGAGGCAUCGGGUAAGGCAUUGGAGCGUAGUAUUAGGAUUAAUUUAGAAUAGGAUUUAUAUUUUUUGCAUUUUCAUUUUGGACUGUAUAAUUGGACUGAACACUAUAUUUUGGACUUGUUUUGUUUUGUUUUGUUUGUUUGAUUGAUUAUUUUGUAUGGUUUAUACAUUUGUAAUGUCAAAUUAGCCGGUAUUCUCCACCAAGCGAUCGUGGUCAAACCACAGGAUCGAGUGGUGCCUAACACCAUUCCCCCAGUCAAUAGAAUUCCUUAGCCGGAAUCUCUGUUCGCGAAUUAGUUUUAGAGUUAAACUAUUUUGAAAAAGGAUUUCCAAAGGUGACUUGGCACAUCCGAUUUAUGUCAAGUGGCGACUCUGAGUUUUUAAAUGUAAAAAUAAUCUUUUUUCAGAACAAAUCUCCAUUUUUUCACUUUAAUAAUGAAAAUUCUUUCAAACUAAAAUCGAAUCUUUUUCUGUUAAAAAAGGGGUGUGACAGCUCUGGCAACUCUGUUGGGGUUUUUUCAGAAUUUGAGCUUAUUUUGGAAUUGUAUCGGCUUAGUGUGGCACUAUAGGAGUAUAGACAUUUUGUUUGUGUUGUUUUGUGUUACUGUUUAGUGCCUACGUGCUCUUUGUUUACAGUUUUUAUCUUAUCUGUUACCACUUUAUAUCUGGCAUCAUGUGCAUAACCCGAGUCAUUCUUUCUGCAACAAGUCCUUAGUACACGUGUGUACACGACCUCUAGUUGAGUCAUCCUUAUUUUAGGAGGGGGAGCCGUUGGGUUGUAUGGAGUAGGUGGAAAGCUGUCGCAGUCACUAUCGACCAUACGCUCCCUCGAACAACCUUGUUAGUGAACCCCAGCAUAGGUCAGCCUUUAGGUCAUGCUUAUGUGCAUCAUAUUGAGAUCUAGCGGGGCCUACUUGGUCCUUUGUAGGAGAUUCACCUCUAAAGUAUCUCUACGUGCUAAAUGUUGCAUCCCUGAGGGUAACGUGGUCAUUUGAUGGAUUGAUUUCAGAAAAGCAAGUGUUAGAAGUAAAGUGUGUAGACAAGAAAUUGUUGGAAAAAAAAGAAAGAGAGGAAAACGAAAAGAAGAAAAAAAGUUUCGUAGUUGUUUACAGUUUUUAUUUUUCAUAAUCCAAAAAACCAAAAAGAUUUUUACAUUUUGCAUUCAUUUUCUCAAAAAACAAAAAUGUCAAAAAUAAAAUAAAAAUUCCUUUUAUUUCUUUAGCAUGCAUUCUCAAUUUGAAAACUUCAAUAUUUUUUUCAAUAUGAGAUUUUUAUAAAAGAAAAAGUAAAAAAAAUGGUAGAAGUUUUGUACAUUUCAUAUAACGAAAAUACCAAAAAAAAUUUUCUUUCUUAGUUGUUGAUGUAAUGUUAUGAGAAGUGUUUAAUUAAAAAACCCCAAAAGAUAUUAUUGACGUUGUUCAUCGUUCAUUUUUGGUCGUGUCUUUUAAGUUAGGGGCAGUUGGUUAUUUAAACCUUAAUUGUCAAAUCUGGACGAACUACGCACCCCUGAUUCUCCUCUCUUAGGAGUGAGAUACGUAGGCAGCCUAUUGUGGGUUUGAGAAUCUUAUUUCUAAAAUCCAAAAAAUAUUUUAUUCACUCUUCAUUUAGAGUAGGUGUUUCAUAUACAUCUUCAAGAGAAAACUACAAAAAAUUUUCCUUUAAUAGUUUCAAGUUUCAUUUUCGUAUAAAAUUCAAAAUUGAAAAUCCCAAAAGAUUUUUCUUUGGUAAUUAUAGGUUUUAUUUUGUAUAGAAAUCUGAAAAAUUCAAAAAAAGAUCUUCUUCACUCUUCAUUUAGAGUAGGUGUCAUAUACAUCUCUAAAAGAAAACCACAAAAAGAUUUUCCUUUAAUAGUUUCAAGUUUUAUUUACGUAUGAAUGCAAAAUUGAAAAUCCAAAAAGAUUUUUCUUUGAUAAUCGCAGGUUUCAUUUUGUAUAGGAAUUUUAAAGCUGAAAAUUUAAAAAGAUUUUCGUCAAUUCUUUUGACAAUUUGUUAUUUUCUUUUCUUCGUAAAGUUUCAAGAAAAAAAAAAGAAAAGAGUUUUAUUGACCAUUUUGACAAGACUUCACGAACUACGCACACCUGAUUCUCUUCUUUCGAGAGUGAGAUACGUAGGCGCCCUUCUUGGGUUCGGUGAUCUUUUAAAAAAAAGAGAGAAGGUAAAAGAGUUUGUAAAAGUGUUGAACUCUAACACAUUUGUUGUUUUCUGUUGAGUCAGUUUAAGGUAGUUGGUUUGUGGCAUUUUGGCUUGUCAUCCAUAUCACACCAAAUUCAAAGGAUUAGUUAUGUCCAACAAAGAUAUAGAGAGUGACAUCAUGGAUCAAACAAAAAGUCAAGAAAUUGAGAGUUUAAAGGAAGAGAAUUUAAGACUAAGGCAACAAAUGAUGGAAAUGUAUCGAGCUUGGAUCAAUGGGUUGCCUCCUCCUCCAUUCCUUACUAUUGACCCCGCAAAUACCCUGAGUUUUUCAUCACAAUUGCUAGCUCCAUCUCUUAAUGUUUUUGAUGCACCACAACAUGCCUCCGAAUUCAUUCCAAUCCAAAAGAAUCUCAAUACUUUCAUCACUCUUCCUCUAGCUUCUCAAUAUAAGCCUGCUACAUUGAUAACACCACAUAUUGUCUGUGCUUUUGUUGCUCAACCUUCUGUUGAGGCUUCCACUUUGGCUAUCAAUCCAACGAUAGUGCUGCCCAAAUCUGCUAGUGACCUAUGUUCAAUACUCUUAAUGAUCAUUGCUAUACUUUCGAGCCCACAUCAAUGUUAAUUGGACCACCAAAAUUUCUUAACAAGAAGUCUAGAUUUUCAGAAGAGCCAGAGAAAAUGGUUGGAAAAAUGAAGAGUGUGGGAAAUGCUUUGAAAAGUUCCCUAAGACUUAUGAGUAAAGAAGAUGUUUCAUACAAAACUGGGGUAUAUCUUCAAGUGUUAACCUCCCUCCAAUCCUUGAGAUAUCGAAAUUUGAGGAGCAAGAUAGGCAUAGGGAAACCGUGAAUUUGGGACAAUAUUGCAAUUAAUUAAGGAAAACUGAAGGGAAGAAUAAUGAGAAAGAUGCAACUGCCAAUGUAGUUGGAGAACGGGCACAUCAAGAAGGCGUCGUCAUUACCGUCAGUCUCAAGCCCAAGUUCAUACCCAAGCUCUCUAUAAUCACUCCCAAAAUCCCUUAUUCUCUAUUUCCCCACCUCCAUAUCUAGUAUAUUGCGAACAACCAUAUGUCCAACUCCCUUCUUACUCACAAUGGCAUGCACCAACUCCUCAGAGUCAUCCUCCAACUCCACAAACAUGUCAAAUUCCUUCUAGGCCCGAUGUUCGAUCCAAGUCAAAUAAUAAAAAGAGGCAGAAGCCUAGGGAUAGUUUCACACCAAUUAGAGAGUCGUAUGCCAGUUUAUUUCAGAGAUUGUUACAGUGGGGCAUGAUCACUCUUGUCCUUGGGUAUACUCCUGAUCCGUAUUCAAGAAGUUUUGAUCCUAAUGUACGAUGUGCAUAUCAUUCUGAUGUUCAGGGUCACAGUAUUGAAGAUUACCGUACUUUGAAAAGAGAAAUAGAAAAGAUGAUUCAAGAUAAAUUAAUUAUGGUGCAGAACAUUGACAGUGAGGGAAGAUCUAGUCAUGCUGAUAUGCAAAUCAGAGGCUGAGAUGUCAAGCUCAGCAAUUGGGAAGUCACCCCUCUCCCUGCUAGAAAGAGGUCUGGUAGUUUGUUUUAUUUUCUUUUCUAUUUUCUGAAUUAUUUCAGGGUUGUAGUUCGGGAUCUAUCUUGUUUUGUCCCUUUGUCAUUUAUGUUUAAACCAUUCUAUAUUUAUUUUAACUAAAUAGAAUGUCCCUUUUUCUUUUGUGUUUAAAUAUGUGUUUUUUUUACAUAGUACAUUUUAUGUUGCUCCUAGUGAUGUGACAUGCUAGCGGAAUUUUCAGCCAGAUCUUAAAAUCCAAUUUAAGCAUGAACAUUGAAUCAGAGGGCUAAGGUUAGAAAAAGCAUCUAAGAAAAUAGGUGGAGUGCUGAGACAUUUGGUGAUGAGUCGAAGCCUUCUUUGAAAAUUAAGGCAUUUAUUUUGAAAAUCACAAGGAUAACUUGGUCAUCAAUCGAAAGGCAUAUCCCAAUUAGGUCAAACAUGAAAUGUGUGAUCCUAUAUUAAAAGAAACGGGAAGAAAAUCAUCUCCACAAAAUCAUAAGUCAUUCAAUGUGAGGGAUGUACAACAAAGGUGGAGUUGUAUGUUUGACAAGUGUAGAAGAAAGAAACGGCACACAUGCUCAGUUAAAGUUUGUGUUGUUAAAGUGUCACACAUGAUAUUCAUCUCUCACUUUCAUAUUGCAUGAUGUGUACUUACAUUUUCAAGGAUUGAUAUGAUGAAGGCAUGCCAUUCUGCUAUCCAAACAUUGUGCCAUCCUUUGAUUACCUCAUCUGAGCCUUAGUUCUAUUUUUAUUCAUACAUACCCCUCUUUUGUAAUCAAGAUAGAGUCAUCAAAGUAAAAAAACAUGUCGAGUAAAAGAUUAGAGUCAAAAAAGUUUUCAAGAAAAAAAGAAAAAGAAGAGAGAAAGAAAAUGUGUCCAAAAAAAAAAGAAAAAAAAAGAUAAGAGUGUCAAGAUAAAUAAAGUCAGAAAAUUUUCAAAGACAAAGAGUCAAUAAAAAAAACAUUGAAGAAAAAAAGUUAGAAUCAAGCAAAAGAACAAGUUGUCGAAACUACGUGUGACCUGAUUCUCCUCUCUCGGGGGUGAGAUACGUAGGCUGCCCUACUCUGGGCUCGGUCCAACCAAAUAAAUAAUUUAGAAUUGCCCAGUCAAAAGAAACUGGGGCAUGAGUUAAUCCUCAUUGUUUGAGUAAAUUUCAAAAGUUGUAAGUCCUACCCCACUUCAAGUGUCGUUUGGGCCCCAUGCCAUCCUUUUUUUCUAACCCUUUCCAAAAGCUAAGUUACAACCAAAGAAAGACCUUCAGGUUUAUCUUUGAGAAUGCUAAGGCUAAGCAUGCAAUGGAUGUGAUGACGCAUUUUGGGAACUACUUGUCUUCCUCAACGUAAGGAAUUAGGAGAGAAAUGAAAAUGAGAGAGUCUUAUCGGUGAAAAUCCUUACGGGCACUGUAAGAUGAUGGUGAGUUGAGACAAAUAAAAAUGAGAGAGUCUUAUCGGUGAAAAUCCUCACGGGCACCGUAAGAUGACUGUGAGUUAAGAGAAUCUCGUUGGUGAAAAAGCCUUAUGGAUACCAUAAGGCAAUAGUGAGCAGAGAGAAAGAAAAUAAGAGAGGCUUGUUGGCGAAAACCCUUCAAUGUGUCAGUAGCCUAAUGAGGUCUCUGAAUGUAAUCGACCCAAGGAAGUAACUCAAUUUUAGGGUCAUUAGCUCAACAACAACUGGUGAAAGUUUGAGUGAAAAGAUCAGGCAGCUUAAUCCAAAUGUAUGACAUAAUCAUUAGAGUUGAUUGUCAUUUUAGAUAAAUUUUUUGUUUCUUUGUUUCAAAUGGGGACAUUCGUUGUCUUUUCUUUCUUCUCUUUAUCUUUAUUUUUAUUUUCUUGAGUCAGUUAUCCAAAUAAAAAAAAUCAUUAUCAUUUUUCUCGUGUCUUUGAGUCAACUUCAUGACAAAAUAAGUGAGAAAAGAUUUCAAAACUGGCUACCAGCUUUUUACUUGCACAAAGCAAGACAAAGUCAGCAUAUGAAAGAGACAUGAUUAUGAGCUGAAUAAGGCAUGCAGAAAGUUUUGUCAACAGACAAUCUUAGAAACUCAUGAAAAUACCAAGGUUUAAAGGGUUUAUCUGAGAAGCAUGUCAAAGCAGAGAUACUGUGUUUAUUUUGGAGUCACUCUUAAUAAUCUGAGUUUGGGUCAAUGACAUGACCAAGCAGGAGCAAGUGAUAGCAAUCUGAAACAAAAUGAAGGGAAUGAACACUGGAGCAGGUGUCGGGACAGCCAAGUGCCGCAAGCCACCACUAAGUUUUCAACUGAUAAAUUUUCUUUAUUAAAAUAGAAGCAAAUUCGCUUUACUUAUUUCAGCUACCAUUGAAAAUGCACAUCCGUGAGAAUUUACUUUUUGUUCAGGACCUUCUUGAAAAAUGGGAUUUUACUUUCUGUUCAGGACCCUCCUGAAAAUGGAAAUUUACUUUCUGUUCAAAACUCUCCUGAAAAAUGAGAUUUUACUUUAUGUUCAGGACCCUCCUGAAAAAUGAAAAUUUACUUUUUGUUCAGGACCCUCCUGAAAAAUAAAAUUUUACUUUAUGUUCAGGAUCCUCCUGGAAAAUGGAAAUUUACUUUCUGUUCAGGACCAUCCUGGAAACUGGAAAUUUACUAUCUGUUUAGGACCCUCCUGAAAAAUGAGAAUUUACUUUCUGUUCAGGACCCUCCUGAAAAAUAAAAUUUUACUUUAUAUUCAGGAUCCUCCUGGAAAAUGCGAAUUUACUUUCUGUUCAGGACCAUCCUAAAAACUGGGAAUUUACUAUCUGUUCAGGACCCUCCUGAAAAAUGAGAAUUUACUUUCUGUUCAGGACCCUCCUGAAAAAUGGGAUUUUACUUUCUAUUCAGGACCCUCCUGGAAAAUGGGAUUUUAAUCUCUGUUCAGGACCCUCCUGGAAAAUGGAAUUUUACUUUCUGUUCAGGACCCUCCUAAAAAAUGGGAUUUUACUUUCUAUUCAGGACCCUCCUGAAAAAUGAAAAUUUACUUUAUGUUCAGGACCCUCCUGGAAAAUGGGAAUUUACUUUCUGUUUAGGACCCUUCUGGAAAAUGAAAAUUUACUUUCUGUUUAGGACCCUCCUGGAAAAUAAGGAUUUACUUUCUGUUCAGGACCCUCUUAGAAAAUGGAAAAUUACUUUAUGUUCAGGACUCUCCUAGAAAAUGGGAAAUUACUUUAUGUGCAGGACCAUCCUGAAAAAGGGACAUUACUUUCUGUUCAGGACCUUCUUGGAAAAUGGGAUUUUACUUUAUGUUCAGGACCCUCCUGAAAAAUGGAAUUUUACUUUCUGUUCAGGACCCUCUUGAAAAAUGGGACAUUACUUUUAAAAAAAUGAAAAUUUUCUUAAUCUUUGUUCGGGAUAAUUUUCGUUUUAGUUUUGAUUUUGGUUUCAGGAGCCUGCCUGAAGAACAGAGUGAGAAAAUUGUAAAUCAGGAACCUGCCUGAAGAACAGGGUGAUGAAAUUGAAAGUCGGGAGCUCUUCCAAAGAAUAGAGCGAUGAAAUUACAAGUUAGGAGCCCGCCUGGAGAACUGGGUGAAGAAGUUGAAAGUCAAGCAACAAGGGGGUGAAGUAGAAAGUCAAAAAUGGCAAGUCAGAAGCCUAUCUAAAGAGUAAGGAAAAUAAAUAAAAGUUAAACAACUAGGUAAAGGGAUUGAAAACCAAGCAACAGAGUGAUUAAAUUGCAAGUCAGGAGCCCGCCUGAAGAAUAGGGUGAAAAAAUUGCAAGUCAGGAGCUCGCCUGAAGAAUAGGGUGAUGAAGUAGCAAGUCAAGAAUACAACAUUUCAUCACCAAAAGUGUCAUCCCCGAUCAAAACCAGCAAAAACUGAUUAAACCCAAUCAUUAUGCGUCGAUUCUGGCGAUAACUCGCUGGAAAUUGCCAUAGUUCAGUGCCGACUUAUGGUUUUGACAUUAAAAUCCACCACCAUAAGAAGCUUAAAAAUAAAUCCGUUGAAUUCUCUUUUACCGAUCGAUCGUUUUACGAUUCAGUGGAGUUUUAUGUCCUUGGUGGCAUGUCAUCUGUUCAGGUUUUCUUUUUGAGUUAUCGCGGUCUCUUUUCGAAUUUGAUUUCGAGGAAUUUUUGUGCUCGAAUUGGUUCAUAAUCGAGAUUUCGAAAAAGGGGUGUGACAGCUCUGGCAACUCUAUUGGGGGUUCUUCAGAAUUUGAGCUUAUUUUGGAAUUGUAUCGGCUUAGUGUGGCACUAUAGGAGUAUAGACAUUUUGUUUGUGUUGUUUUGUGUUACUGUUUAGUGCCUACGUGCUCUUUGUUUACAGUUUUUAUCUUAUCUGUUACCACUUUAUAUCUGGCAUCAUGUGCAUAACCCGAGUCAUUCUUUCUGCAACAAGUCCUUUGUACACGUGUGUACACGACCUCUAGUUGAGUCAUCCUUAUUUUAGGAGGGGGAGCCGUUGGGUUGUAUGGAGUAGGUGGAAAGCUGUCGCAGUCACUAUCGACCAUACGCUCCCUCGAACAACCUUGUUAGUGAACCCCAACAUAGGUCAGCCUUUAGGUCAUGCUUAUGUGCAUCAUAUUGCGAUCUAGCGGGGCCUACUUGGUCCUUUGUAGGAGACUCACCUCUAAAGUAUCUCUACGUGCUAAAUGUUGCAUCCCUGAGGGUAACGUGGUCAUUUGAUGGAUUGAUUUGAGAAAAGCAAUUGUUAGAAGUAAAGUGUGUAGACAAGAAAUUGUUGGAAUAAAAAGAGAAAAAGAGAGGAAAACGAAAAGAAGAAAAAAAGUUUCGUAGUUGUUUAUAGUUUUUAUGGUUUUGAUUUUUCAUAAUCCAAAAAAUCAAAAAGAGUUUUACAUUUUGCAUUCAUUUUCUCAAAAAACAAAAACGUCAAAAAUAAAAUAAAAACUCCUUUUUCUUUAGCAAGCAUUCUCAAUUCGAAAACUUUAAUUUUUUUUUUCAACAUGAGCUUUUUAUAAAAGAAAAAGUAAAAAAAAUGGUAGAAGUUUUGUACAUUUCAUAUAACGAAAAUACCGAAAAAAAAUUUCUUUCUUAGUUGUUGAUGUUAAUGUUAUGCGAAGUGUCUAAUUAAAAAACCCCAAAAGAUAUUAUCGACGUUGUUCAUCAUUCAUUUUUGGUCGUGUCUCUUAAGUUAGAGUCAGUUGGUUAUUUAAUCCUUAAUUGUCCAAUCUGAAUGAACUACGCACUCCUGAUUCUCCUCUCUUGAGAGUGAGAUACUUAGGCAGCCUAUUGUGGGUUCGGGAAUGUUAUUUAAAAAAUCCAAAAAAUAUUUUAUUCACUCUUCAUUUAGAGUAGGUGUUUCAUAUACAUCUUCAAGAUAAAACUACAAAAUGAUUUUUCUUUAAUAGUUUCAAGUUUCAUUUUCGUAUGAAAUUCAAAAUUGAAAAUUCCAAAAGAUUUUUCUUUGGUAAUUAUAAGUUUUAUUUUGUAUAGAAAUCUGAAAAAUUCAAAAAAAGAUCUUCUUCACUCUUCAUUUAGAGUAGGUGUCAUAUACAUCUCUAAAAGAAAACCACAAAAAGAUUUUCCUUUAAUAAUUUCAAGUUUUAUUUACGUAUGAAUGCAAAAUUGAAAAUCCAAAAAGAUUUUUCUUUGAUAAUCGCAGGUUUCAUUUUGUAUAGGAAUUUUAAAGCUGAAAAUUUAAAAAGAUUUUCGUCAAUUCUUUUGACAAUUUGUUAUUUUCUUUUCUUCGUAAAGUUUCAAGAAAAAAAAAAGAAAAGAGUUUUAUUGACCAUUUUGACAAGACUUCACGAACUACGCACACCUGAUUCUCUUCUUUCGAGAGUGAGAUACGUAGGCGACCUUCUUGGGUUCUGUAAUCUUUUCAAAAUAAAUAAAAAAAGAGAGAAGGAAAAAGAGUUUUGAAAAGUGUUGAACUCUAACACAUUUGUUGUUUUUUGUUGAGUCAGUUUAAGGUGGUUGGUUUGUGGUAUUUUGGCUGGUCCUCCACAUCACACCAAAUUUAAAUGGUUAGUUGUGUCCAACAAAGGUAUAGAGAGUGACAUCAUGGAUCAAACAAAGAGUCAAGAAAUUGAGAGUUUAAAGGAAGAGAAUUUGAGACUAAGGCAACAAAUGAUGAAAAUGUAUCGAGCUUGGAUCAGUGGGUUGCCUCCUCCUCUAUUCCUUCUAUUGACCCAGCAAUUACCUUGAGUUUUUCAUCACAAUUGCUAGCUCCAUGUCCUACUGUUGUUGAUGCACCCCAAUAUGCCUCGGAAUUCAUUCCAAUCCAAAAGAAUCUCAAUACUUUCGUCACUCUUCUUCUAGCUUCUCAAUAUAAGCCUGCUACAUUGAUAACACAACAUACUGUCUGUGCUUUUGUUGCUCAAUCUUCUGUUGAGGCUUCCACUUUGGCUAUCAAUCCAACGAUAGUGCUGCCCCAAUCUGCUAGUGGACCCAUGCUCAAUACUCUUAAUGAUCAUUGCUAUACUUCCUAGCCCACAUCAAUGUUAAUUGGACCACCAAAAUUUCUUAACAAGAAGUCUAGCUUGUCAGAAGAGCUAGAGAAAAUGGUUGGAAAAAUAAAGAGUGCAGGAAAUGCUGUGAAAAGUUUCCUAAGACUUGUGAGUAAAGAAGAUGUUUCAUACAAAACUGGGGCAUGUCUUCAAGUCUCUCUCCAAUCCUUGAGAUAUCGAAAUUUGAGGAGCAAGAUAGACAUAGGGAAUCCGUGAAUUUGGGACAAUAUUGAAAUCAAUUAAGGGAAACUGGAGGGAAGAAGAAUAAGAAAGAUGCAACUGCCAAUGUAGUUGGAGAACGGGCACAUCUAAGAAGGCGUCGUCGUUACCGUCAGUCUCAAGCAAAAGUUCAUACCCAAGCUCUCUAUAAUCACUCCCAAAAUCCCUUAUACUCUAUUUCUCCACCUCCACAUCUAGUAUAUUGCGCACAACCAUAUGUCCAACUCCCUUCUUACUCACAAUGGCAUGCACCAACUCCUCAGAGUCAUCCUCCAACUCCACAAACAUGUCAAAUUCCUUCUAGGCCCGAUAUUCGAUCCAAGUCAAAUAAUAAAAAGAGGCAGAAGCCUAGGGAUAGUUUCACACCAAUUAGAGAGUCGUAUGCCAGUUUAUUUCAGAGAUUGUUACAGUGGGGCAUGAUCACUCUUCUCCUUGGGUAUAUUCCUGACCCGUAUUGAAGAAGUUUUGAUCCUAAUGUACGAUGUGCAUAUCAUUCUGAUGUUCAGGGUCACAGUAUUGAAGAUUGACGUGAUUUGAAAAGAGAAAUAGAAAAGAUGAUUCAAGAUAAAUUAAUUAUGGUGCAGAACAUUGACAGUGAGGAAAGCUCUAGUCAUGCUGAUAUGCAAACCAGUGACUGAGAUGUCAAGCUCAACAAUUGGGAAGUCACCCCUCUCCCUGCUAGAAAGAGGUCUGGUAGUUUGUUUUAUUUUUUUUCUGUUUUCUGAAUUAUUUCAGGGUUGUAGUUCGGGAUCUAUCUUGUUUUGUCCCUUUGUCGUUUAUGUUUAAACCCUUCUAUAUUUAUUUUAACCAAAUAGAAUGUCCCUUUUUCUUUUGUGUUUAAAUAUGUGUUUUUUUACAUAGUACAUUUUAUGUUGAUUCUAGUGUGUGACAUGCUAGCGGAAUUUUCAGUCAGAUCUUAAAAUCCCGUUUAAGCAUGAACAUUGAAUCAGAGGGCUAAGGUUAGAAAAAGCAUCUAAGAAAAUAGGUGGAGUGCUAAGAUAUUUGGUGAUGAGUCGAAGCCUUCUUUGAAAAUUAAGGCAUUUAUUUUGAAAAUCACAAGGAUAACUUGGUCAUCAAUCGAAAGGAAUAUCCCAAUUAGGUCAAACAAGAAAUGUGUGAUCCUAUAUCAAAAGAAACGGGAAGAAAAUCAUCUCCACAAAAUCAUGAGUUAUUCAAUGUGAGGGAUGUACAACAACGGUGGAGCUGUAUGUUUGACAAAUGUAGAAGAAAGAAGUGGCACACAUGCUCAGUUAAAGUUUGUGUUGUUAAAGUGUCAUACAUGAUAUUCAUCUCUCACUUUCAUAUUGCAUGAUGUGUACUUACAUUUUCAAGGAUUGAUAUGACGAAGACAUUUCAUUCUGCUAUCCAAACAUUGUGCCAUCCUUUGUUUACCUUAUCUGAGCCUUAGUUCUAUUUUUAUUCAUACCCCUCUUUUGUAAUCAAGAUAGAGUCAUCAAACUGAAAAAAAAAAUAUUGAGUAAAAGAUUAGAGUCAGAAAAGUUUUCAAAAAAAUAAAAGAAGAAGAGAGAAAAAAAAUGUGUCAAAAAAAAGAAAAAAAAAGAGAAGAGUGUCAAGAUAAAUAGAGUCAGAAAAUUUUCAAAGACAAAGAGUCAAUAAAAAAUACAUCGAAGAAAAGAAGUUAGAAUCAAGCUAACGAACAAGCUGCCGGAGCUACGUGUGACCUGAUUCUCCUCUUUCGGUGGUGAGAUACGUAGGCUGCCCUACUCUGGGCUCGGUCCAACCAAAUAAAUAAUUUAGAAUUGCCCAGUCAAAAGAAACUGGGGCAUGACUUAAUCCUCAUUGUUUGAGUCGAUUCUAAAAGUUGUAAGUCUCACCCCACUUUAAGUGUCAUUUGGGCCCCAUGUCAUCCCCUUUUUAUAACAAUAUCCAAAAGCUAAGUUACAACCAAAGAAAGACCUUCAGAUCAAUCUUUGAGAAUGCUAAGGUUAAGCAUGCAAUGGAUGUGAUGACGCAUUUUGGAAACUACUUGUCUUCCUCAACGUAAGGAAUUAGGAGAGAAAUAAAAUUGAGAGAGUCUUAUCGGUGAAAAUCCUUACGGGCAUGUAAGACGAUGGUGAGUUGAGAUAAAUAAAAAUGAGAGAGUUUUAUCGGUGACAAUCCUUACGGGCACCGUAAGACGACUGUGAGUUGAGAGAAAUGAUAAUUAUAGAAUCUCAUUGGUGAAAAAACCUCACGGAUACCAUAAGGCAUUGGUGAGCCAAGAGAAAGAAGAUGAGAGAGGCUUGUUGGCGAAAACCUUUUAAGGUGUCACUAGCUGAAUGAGUUCUCUGAAUGUAAUUGACCCAAGGAAGUAACUCAAUUUCAAGGUUAUUAGCUCAACAACAAUUGGUGAAAGUUUGAAUGAAAAGAUCAGACAGCUUAAUCCAAAUGUAUGGCAUAAUCAUUAGAGUUUAUUGUCAUUUUAGAUAAAUUUUUUGUUUCUUUGUUUCAAAUAGGGACAUUCAUUGUCUUUUCUUUCUUCUCUUUAUCUUUAUUUUCUUGAGUCAGUUAUCCAAAUAAAAAAAAUCAUUGUAAUUUUUCUUGUGUCUUUGAGUCAAGUCCAUGACAAAAUAAGUGAGAAAAUAUUUCAAAACUGGCUACCAGCUUCUUCAAUUGCACAAAGCAAGACAAAGUCAGCAUAUGAAAGGAACAUGAUUGUGAGUCGAAUAAGACAUGCAUAAAGUUUUGUCAACAGACAAGCUUGGAAACUCAUGAAAAUACCAAGGUUUAAAGGUUAUCUGAGAAGUAUGACAAAGCAGAGAUACAGUAUUUAUUUCGGAGUCACUCUUGAUAAUCUGAGUUUGGGUCAAUGACACGACAAAGCAGGGACAAGUGAUAGCAAUCUAAAACAAAAUGAAGGGAAUGAACACUGGAGCAGGUGUCGGGAUAGCCAAGUGCCGCAAGCCACCACUAAAUUUUUAACUGAUAAAUUUUCUUUGUUAAAACAGAAGCAAAUUCGCUUCACUUAAUUCAGCUACCAUUGAAAAUGCACAUCCCUGAGAAUUUACUUUCUGCUCAGGAUUCUCCUGGAAAAUGAAAAUUUACUUUAUGUUCAAGACCCUCCUGAAAAAUGGGAAUUUACUUUCUAUUCAGGACCCUUCUGAAAAAUAAGAUUUUACUUUAUGUUCAGGACCCUCCUGAAAAAUGGAAAUUUAAUUUCUCUUCAAGACCCUCCUGAAAAAUGAAAAUUUACUUUAUGUUCAGGACUCUACUAAAAAAUAGAAAUUUACAUUCUGUUCAGGACCGUCCUGAAAAAUGAGAUUUUACUUUCUGUUCAGGACCCUCUUAAAAAAUGAGAUUUUACUUUUUGUUCAGGACCCUCCUGGAAAAUGAGAUUUUACUUUCUGUUUAGGACCCUCCUGGAAAAUGGGAUUUUACUUUCUGUUCAGGACCCUUCUGAAAAAUGGAAUUUUACUUUAUGUUCAGGACCCUCCUGAAAAAUAGGAAUUUACUUUAUGAUCAGGGCCCUCUUGAAAAAUGAAAAUUUACUUUAUGAUUAGGACCCUCCUGGAAAAUGGGAAUUUACUUUCUGUUCAGGACCCUCCUGGAAAAUAGGAAUUUACUUUUUGUUCAGGGCCCUCCUGAAAAAUGGAAAAUUACUUUAUGUUUAGGACCCUCCUGGAAAAUGAAAAAUUACUUUAUGUGCAGGACCCCCUCCUGGAAAAUGAAAAAUUACUGUAUGUGCAGAACCCUCAUGAAAAAUGGGACAUUAAUUUCUGUUCAGGACUCUCCUGAAAAAUGGGAUUUUACUUUCUGUUCAGCACCCUCCUGAAAAAUGGGACAUUACUUUUAGAAAAAUGAAAUCUUUCUUUAUCUUAAUCUUUGUUUAGGAUAAUUUUCGUUUUAGUUUUGAUUUUGGUUUCAGGAGUUCGCCUGAAGAAUAGGGUGAGAAAAUUGUAAAUCAGGAACCAGCCUGAAGAACAAGAUGAUGAAAUUGAAAGUCGGGAGCUCGCCCGAAGAACAAAGCGAAGAAAUUACAAGUUAGGAGCCCGCCUGGAGAACUGGGUGAAGAAGUUGAAAGUCAAGCAACAAGGUGGUGAAAUAGAAAGUCAAAAAGGACAAGUCAAAAGCCCGCCUGAAAAGUAGGGAAAAUAAAUAAAAGUCAAGCAACAAGGUAAAGCGAUUGCAAACCAAGCAACAAAGUGAUUAAAUUGCAAGCUAGGAGCUCGCCUGAAGAAUAGGGUGAAAAAAUUACAAGUCAGAAGCCCGCCUGAAGAAUAAGGUGAAAAAAUUGCAAGUCAGGAGCCCGCCUGAAGAAUAGGGUGAUGAAGUAGCAAGUCAAGAGUCAAGGAAAGCUGCAUAGAUAGAGUUUUUGUAAUUUCAUUUAUGUUUUUAACUUGUAAUUUUCAUUUUUGAUAUAAUGACAGAGCCGCGGACCGAAACCCUGAUGGAACCUCACUCGAUUCUCCAACUCGGUAUAGUCCUUCUCUUUCCAAUCGUUUGAGAUAGUCUUGAAUUGAUUCCCUCAAAAGGGUAGGUAGGAUGUCCUAAGUCAAAAACUUGGUUUCCCUCCUUCCUUCUGUUUCAUUCUUUUGAAUAAUGGUCGGGACAAAAUUCUGUCUCAUUAUCUACUUCUUUCUUUGAAAAUACUUCGUAUUUACAUUCAAAGGGGGCAUGCUGUAGACACCUAAUUUUGUUCCUCCCAACGUUGAUUUUAUCCAUUUUUAGCUCACCUUACCAUGUGUUCUCAUCCAUGUGAUUAUAUCCCACAAAAAUACAAAAAAUAACAACCCUCAACAAAAUCCUAACAAAUUUUAUCUUAUUUUAAUUAUCCUAACAAUCUACCCCACCCCCUACUCACCUUACCACCCUUACCCGUACCACGUCACCACCCCCUCAUUUUUAUUGGAUUACUUUUAACCUAAUACUCUAACAACAAAAAUAAACAUGGACCACACGAGAUAAGAGGAUAUACACAAGGGGGGGUCACUAUCAAGAGGGGAUUUUCCAUUUUUCUCAGAAACAGAGCACGCAUAGAGAGGACCAUCACUUUUCUUUUUUGUCAACAACACAGUAGAUAUUUACUGAUCUCACAGAAAACACACAGAGAACACGCACCAUCGUCUUCUUCCACCAUACACGUACAAACUCACCUCAUCGCACGCACAUACACAGUAAUUAGAGAGCAGGAGAGAUGGGGUGAUUAGACAGAAUCAAGAGAGACAGAGACGCCUUGAAUAGAGGGAAAUCAGUCGACGCCUGAGCCACCGAAAUACAACAUCUUAUCACCAAAAGUGUCAUCCCCGGUCGAAACCAGCAAAAACAGAUUGAACUCGAUCGUUAUGCAUCGAUUCUAGCGAUAACUCACUGGAAAUUGCCAUAGUUCAGGGCCGACUUAGGGUUUUGACAUUAAGCUCUACCACCAUAAGAAGCUUAAAAAUAAAUCCGUUGAAUUCUCUUUUACCGAUCGAUCGUUGUUACGAUUCAGUGGAGUUUUAUGUCCUUGGUGGCGUAUCAUCUGUUCAUGUUUUAUUUUUGAGUUAUCACAGUCUCUUUUUGAAUUUGAUUUUGAGGGAUUUUUGUUCUCGACUUGGUUCAUAGUCGAGAUUUCGAUGUUCGUUGAGGUUCUUAGAACGGCUCUCAUCUUUCUUUUCAAGUUAAUCGAAAGCUUUUGAGGUCCAAUUCUCAACUCUACUCUCUUAUUAUCAUUAUGUGUUUGAUGAUGAUUGAUUCAGAAUUUUGUUGAUACUUGGUGCUGUUUACCUGAAUAGCUAGUCGUUGGUAUGAAAUCAUGUUGAUAUGGCUUGAUAACUAUUUUCAUUUUAAAGUUCAUGUGUUUAAAUGAAUUUUGGGAGGGGUUAAACAUGAUGAAGUGAAUUCGUGGUAAUUUUUGGAUCUUCGAUUAUAUUGAAAUUUUGAUAAAUCGAAUCUAGUAGGUAAAUGCUAAGUCGGGUAGGCAAAUUUUAGGAAUGGUGUUUUGUUAAAUGUGCUUGUGAAUAGUUCUUUCUACUUUAUCACGCAAGAUUUGAAGAUGUAUUCAUUCACCGGGGAAUGCCCCGAGAUUAUAUUGUACUUAUUCACCGGAAAAUGCCCCGAAAUAUCAUAUAUGCAAAGGAGGCUCGUGAUCAAAAAGCCCGAGACAUCGGGUAAGGCAUUGGAGCGUAGUAUUAGAAUAGGAUUUAUAUUUUUCGCAUUUUCAUUUUGGACUGUAUAAUUGAACUGAACACUAUAUUUUGGACUUGUUUGAUUGAUUAUUUUAUGUGAUUUAUACAUUUGUAAUGCCAAAUUAGUCGAUAUGCUCCACCAAGGUCAAACCACGGGAUCGAGGGGUGCCUAACACCUUCCCCUCGGUCAACAGAAUUCCUUAGCCGGAAUCUCUGUUCGCGGAUUAGUUUUAGAGUCAAACUGUUUUGAAAAAGGAUUUCCAAAGGUGACUUGGCACACCCGAUUUAUGUCAAGUGGUGACUCUGAGUUUUUAAAUGUAAAAAUAAUCAUUUUUCAGAACAAAUCUUCAUUUUGUCACUUUAAUAACUGUCACACCUCUUUUUUUUUUUUUUUUUUUAACUCCGAAAGGUUAUAUUUUAAGUUUCGAAAUGACUUUUAUUAUUAAAGUGACAAAAUGAAGAUUUGUUUCGAAAAAGGAUUACGUUUACAUUCAAAACUCAGAUUCGCCACUUGGCAUAAUCCGGUGUGCCAAGUUACCUCUGGACAAUCCUUUUCAAAAUAAUUUGACUCUUUAAAACUGAUUUGUUCUGUUGACCGAGGGGAAGGUGUUAGGAGCCCCUCGAUCUCGUGGUUCGAUCAUGGUCGCUUGGUGGAGUGUAUCGGCUAAUUUGACAUUAUAAAAUGUAUAAACCACAUAAACACAUAAGACAAACAAACAAACAAAUCAAACAAAAUUCAAAAAACCAAAGUAAUGUCCAGUCCGAAUUAUACAGUCCAAAAAUAGAAUCCUAUUUAGACUAAUCUUAAACUAUACUCCAAUGCUUUACCCGAUGCCUCGGGCCUUCAUCACGAACCUCCUUUGUGUACAUGAUACGUCGGGGCAUUCCUUGGUAUAAGUACAAUGUGACCUCAGGGCAUUCCCCGGUGAAUGAAUACAUUUUCCAAAUGCGAGAAAAUCAAACCAUUCAACGAACUUUCAAACAUUCAACAAAACCACGAGUCCUAAACUUUGCCUACCCCAAACCUACGAUUUUCCUACCAAUCUUCGAUCUAAAACAUGAUACUAUCGGCGUUCAACAUCAACAACGAAUCAAUAUACCAUAAUAUUCACUUUAUCGAUUUUUGCAUUUCCCAUCCCAAAUACCUUUUCAAUCCUUAACGAAGUAUCGUUUCAUUACACAAUUCAUAAUCGAGAAAAUCAAUCAAUCAAUCAAACACAAUAGCGAUUCAUCACAAAUCAAUAUCAAACAACACAUGAUAUUCUAUCCAAUGCAAUAAAAAGAGGAAAAGAUUAGAAAUGGACCUCAAUAAUGAUUUUAUUCCAAAUAUCAGUCAAUCCAAAAGACAGAAUCCACACGCCGAAGAACCUAGAUUCGAAUCCCCCAACAAUAACAAACCCAACCUCGGUACAGCUUCACUGUUUCCACCAAAAUCGUAACAAGGAAGACCGACAAAAACCGUUCAUAAUUUUUGAUAUGGUUCAUCGUGGACAAGGGUGGGUCGUAAGAUGGGUUUUCGAUGGUGUUUAGUCGAAUUUUGGGAUAUUCCGGUGGGAUUUGCCUCGUCACUGAUUACUGGUGGUAUUUCGGCGAAUCCUCGCCGGAAUUAACACGCGAUGGGUCAUUUUUCAGUAGAUUACGCGACAGCGCGGAGCUGGGUUGCUACUCUCUGUUUUGAUGGAGCUCCGGCGAACUCUGGUUGCCGUAAUGAACCUCCCUUAACUGUUUCUCUCCCUCUCGACCUCUCUCUCCCUCUAUUCUCACCUCUAUCUCUCCCUCGAUUCUCUCACACUCUCUACAUUCCGAUCCCAGUACGUGUGUAUGUAUUUUGCGUCUGUAUAUGUGUGCGUAUGAACUGCGGGCUAUGCUUCAAUGGAGUGUAUCAAUCUCAUGGAGAAGAAGAGGAGAGUCGGGUCUCUGUGUAUGUAUUCUUUUCUCUGAAAAUGGAAAUUGAGAGUGAGUGAUUUGUCCUCUCUUUCCCAAAUGAAAGAUGGUAGAAUCUGUCUAUCUUCCCUUUUGUUUAUUGAUGUGUGGGACACGUGAGUGCGGUGAGGCGUAGGGGUAUGGGGUGGUCAGGUGUGAGAUGUCCACUUUUAAUUGAAAAAGUUGUUAGGAUAAAAUUAAAAAAAGGUAAAAUUUAUUAAGGUUUGUUAUUUUUGUCAUUUUAUGGAGGGAUAAUCAUGUGGAUGAGAGUGUAUGACAAC